AACGAACGCUGGCGGCAGGCCUAACACAUGCAAGUCGAACGCUCCGCAAGGGGAGUGGCGCACGGGUGAGUAACACGUGGGAACCUACCUUCUGGUACGGAACAACCAAGGGAAACUCUGGCUGAUACCGUAUACGACCUCCGGGUGAAAGAUUGAUCGCCGGAAGAGGGGCCCGCGUCCGGAUUAGGUAGUUGGUGAGGUAACGGCUCACCAAGCCUGCGAUCGGUAGCUGGUCUGAGAGGANGACCAGCCACACUGGGACUGAGACACGGCCCAGACUUCUACGGGAGGCAGCAGUGGGGAAUAUUGGACAAUGGGCGCAAGCCUGAUCCAGCCAUGCCGCGUGAGUGAUGAAGGCCUUCGGUUG
rnacentral:rRNA from 1 species